UAGGGAAUAUUGGACAAUGGGCGAAAGCCUGAUCCAGCCAUGCCGCGUGAAGGAUGAAGGCCCUCUGGGUUGUAAACUUCUUUUAUCUGGGAAGAAACUCUUGGAUUCAUCCAAGCCUGACGGUACCAGAGGAAUAAGCACCGGCUAACUCCGUGCCAGCAGCCGCGGUAAUACGGAGGGUGCAAGCGUUAUCCGGAUUCACUGGGUUUAAAGGGUGCGUAGGCGGGUUGGUAAGUCAGUGGUGAAAGCC
rnacentral:rRNA from 1 species